rnacentral:rRNA from 1 species
UGGGGAAUAUUGCACAAUGGGCGAAAGCCUGAUGCAGCGACGCCGCGUGAGGGAUGACGGCCUUCGGGUUGUAAACCUCUUUCAGCAGGGACGAAGCGCAAGUGACGGUACCUGCAGAAGAAGCACCGGCUAACUACGUGCCAGCAGCCGCGGUAAUACGUAGGGUGCAAGCGUUGUCCGGAAUUACUGGGCGUAAAGAGUUCGUAGGCGGUUUGUCGCGUCGUUUGUGAAAACCAGCAGCUCAACUGCUGGCUUGCAGGCGAUACGGGCAGACUUGAGUACUGCAGGGGAGACUGGAAUUCCUGGUGUGGCGGUGGAAUGCGCAGAUAUCAGGAGGAACACCGGUUGCGAAAGCGGGUCUCUAGGCAGUAACUGACGCUGAGGAACGAAAGCGAGGGUAGCGAACAGG